rnacentral:rRNA from 1 species
UCGUCUAUAUACGUAUAGCAUAUCAAUAAGCGGAGGAAAAGGAACUAACAAGGAUUCCCUUAGUAACGGCGAGUGAGGCGGGAAGAGCUCAAAUUUGAAAUCUUCAAGGUUUACCUUGACGAAUUGUAGUUUAAAGAAGUGUUUUCUGUUAGAGGAGUAGCAAAAGUUCCUUGGAAUGGGACAUCAUAGAGGGUGAGAAUCCCGUAUUUGGUUAUUCUUUCUAGCUUUGUGAUACACUUUCAAAGAGUCGGAUUGUUUGGGAAUGCAGUCCAAAAUGGGUGGUAAAUUUCAUCUAAAGCUAAAUAUUGGCGAGAGACCGAUAGCGAACAAGUACCGUGAGGGAAAGAUGAAAAGAACUUUGAAAAGAGAGUUAAACAGUACGUGAAAUUGUCAAAAGGGAAGCGUUUGACACCAGUGUUGUUUUUCCGAAAAUCAAUUAAGAGUGGCUUGAUUUUGUGUUGUAUUGACCUUAUCAGCUUUCUUCACUCUUUUUCGAGUCUUUCUUAAUGCACUUUUCGGUUAACAAGUCAACAUCAAUUUCUUUUGUUGUAAAAGGGUAUUUGGAAGGUGGCUUUCUUUUCGGAGAAAGUGUUUAUAGCCUUAUACCUCUACAAUCGGAGAGAUUGAGGUCUGCAGCGUAGAUCCUUCGGGGCUAGAUACACUUGUGCUAAGUUAUAGCUUUUCAUAGACAACUUGUUGACUAUGUUUAGUCAUGUAGCUUACCCGCUUGUGCUAUUUUACCUACGCUUAGGAUGUUGAGUCAUCACACAUCUCU